GACGAACGCUGGCGGCGUGCUUAACACAUGCCAGUCGAACGGAAAGGCCCUGCUUUUGUGGGGUGCUCGAGUGGCGAACGGGUGAGUAACACGUGAGUAACCUGCCCUUGACUUUGGGAUAACUUCAGGAAACUGGGGCUAAUACCGGAUAGGAGCUCCUGCUGCGUGGUGGGGGUUGGAAAGUUUCGGCGGUUGGGGAUGGACUCGCGGCUUAUCAGCUUGUUGGUGGGGUAGUGGCUUACCAAGGCUUUGACGGGUAGCCGGCCUGAGAGGGUGACCGGCCACAUUGGGACUGAGAUACGGCCCAGACUCCUACGGGAGGCAGCAGUGGGGAAUAUUGCACAAUGGGCGGAAGCCUGAUGCAGCAACGCCGCGUGCGGGAUGACGGCCUUCGGGUUGUAAACCGCUUUCGCCUGUGACGAAGCGUGAGUGACGGUAAUGGGUAAAGAAGCACCGGCUAACUACGU
rnacentral:rRNA from 1 species